rnacentral:lncRNA from 1 species
AUUUGACCCCUGGUUUGACGCGGGCGCGGUGUAGCUGUAAUGUGGCUGUUUGAGGAGCCACCGGCGAGGCUUUUGUAGUCAUGUAGGCAGGUCGGCUUGGCUCACAAUGAAACCUCAGAAUGCAACUUUCUUUUGCGCAUGCGCCUUGCUGGCCUGCGCCCUUCCACGUUCCGGCGCCGGGAGCAGCGCGGAGAGGUUGGUCCGGUCUGGCAGAAGUUACGGGCGAAACGGGGAGCAUGCCGCAGAAAGCGGUGACGUCCACGGCCACACGAGGACGCGCACCGCCGUGGAGCCGCAGGUCGAGUGCCGGGACGAGCUCAUGAUCGUGACGUUCAAGCCGUGGGAUGUCGGCCACGUUCAGGUUUUCGCGCGUAAGUUGGGUGUCGUCCGUCCGUCCGUCACGCUGAAGGCUUGUUCUCCUCUUCACCGGUCACCCCCACCUUUCUCGUCCAGCGGACGGUCUUCCUCUGCCCUUGUCCGAGCUGCCCUCCUUCUGUAACAUCUUCGUCAGAACCAUGAAGGACGAGGUCGUUGUAGGAUCUCGCUAUGAUGGCUGCUUUGUCAAGACGCAGCGGUCGGGGUACGUGUUGCCGUUCCGCUGGUACGGCGUUCCCGUGCGAGCGUCCUGCCCCUUCGCCAUCGUUCCUCUGAAGAUCGUCUGUAGGCCGCAGUCCAUGGACCUGACCGUUUUUGGUGCCGGGGCCGCCGGCAGAUAUUCCGUUCAGUUGAACGGUGAGCGGAUUCCGCUGCUGUUUACCGCAGCUCUGUGCUGGUACAACACCGCCUCGUCGCCUGGAAUGGAGUCCUUCUCCAUCCCCUACAGCAGCUGUGGAUUGACGCGACGGAAUAAUCACGUGGUCCUGACUGUUCGUGUGGGAGAAGAAGUCACGACUCUUUCUUGUCCGGCCAAAGACCCGGCUUCCCAGUUUCACCGUUUGAGGAGUCCCUGGCCUGGUCUCGGCUCUAUUAAGAACCCUCCUGUUUUAGCUGCCGAUCGGUAUGUGCGCAGGUAUUCAGAGACUCCACCUUCCGCUCAGUACCCACACCAGCCGUCUGUCGCCGAAUCCCACCGUGAUGAAGACGCCAUCAUGCCAGCUCAGGGUCCAUAUGAUCUAAUUACACCGUUUCUCUUCUACCACCAACCUCUCAUACAUGGGAGGUGAUGCAAGCGAGUUCUAAUAUGGACGUUAGUCCACCAGAAACCUGCAAUAAUCUCGCACUUUCCCUCCUCAGGGGCCAUUAUUGCUCCCGACUGUGAUUUGACCAAGCGGUGUUCUGGUUAGUACCACGUACACCUGGUUAGUAGUUCUUCUUUCUAACCUGAGGAUCAUGACCACUGGACUGCAGCGGGGCGGGC